CAACUGGAAUAAAUUGAUAUGUUCGGAAAGGAAAUUGACGAAGGUAUUUCGUAUGAACAGAGCAAUGGGAUUGUAUGCAAGCUUUUGUAUAUAUUUUGUGGCUGUAAAAUAGUAUUGCACCCUUCUGUAAUUUUAAAUUAUCCCGCUUAAGCUCGGUUCAGUUUUGAUGGUAGAAUAGAAGGCAUCUGCACAUUCAGGGAGAGGUGAAUAUAACUGAUAUCUUUGAAAGCUUUUCUCCGAUCAGAUUGGUGACCAUUACUUCAAAUGAAGGCUGAAGGUCCUAUUAGUUGAUACAGUAAAGCAUCAGGUAUAUUUUUGUUGGUUCAGAAGUGCUCCCAAUUCUAGAGUUUGUGCUGUUUGUUUCAUUUCCGUCGAAAAUCUAAUUAUACGACGUGCAGGCAGUUUUAAGUUGUUAUCUCUUUUGUAAAUAUUAAGGACUGAUUCUAUAUUAACAUAAAACUCAUCUUGAACCUUCCUACUGAUUCUAUGGUAGUUCCAUAGAGUUAACUUCAUACAAUACUUUCUAGAUCGUGAAAAGUGCAGGGCUUACAUACUGACCGAACUAUUCUUGCUCUACAUGCCAAAUGAUUCUCUAUUUUUAACAUUGUCAUUACUGUAUCAACAAUCAUAAUAUGUUGUUAGGACUAUCUCCACUUGCAUUCAACUUGGCAGGAUUUAUUUUUAAUAUCAACUUUCUGGAAUUUUUGGUUGUUUUAUACUCAUGUGUUGGUAUGCCUCUAUGAUGGAUUUAACUUCAGUCACCUGCUGGAGCAGCUGGACGCCAGGUUUGGGUCUUAGCAUAAGCUUACCUCAUAAGCUUACCUGAUAUUUUCCUAUUGAAAAUGCUUACAAUUUAUGGUUAUUGUUUUCUUGUUAAAAUGCCUUACUACACUUUUGUUUCCCAGCAGGUUGAUGAUAUAGAAAACGAAGCAAACAAACUUAAUCGAAUCAAGAACUAUCGUCAUGGCAAGUUAUCAGAGCACACAAGUCAUCCCAUUGAGAAGGUCAAAAGGAGGUCAAGCAAGUGAAAAUAUAUGGGGCUUUGGUUGUGCGAUCUCUAGAAACUACUCUAACUGCUUGUGGAACAAUUGUAUACUUUGAUUUCCAUCAAGAAAAUUAUGUUUUCAUGA